rnacentral:rRNA from 1 species
GAUGAACGCUGGCGGCGUGCCUAAUACAUGCAAGUCGAGCGAACAGAUAAGGAGCUUGCUCCUUUGACGUUAGCGGCGGACGGGUGAGUAACACGUGGGUAACCUACCUAUAAGACUGGGAUAACUUCGGGAAACCGGAGCUAAUACCGGAUAAUAUUUCGAACCGCAUGGUUCGAUAGUGAAAGAUGGUUUUGCUAUCACUUAUAGAUGGACCCGCGCCGUAUUAGCUAGUUGGUAAGGUAACGGCUUACCAAGGCGACGAUACGUAGCCGACCUGAGAGGGUGAUCGGCCACACUGGAACUGAGACACGGUCCAGACUCCUACGGGAGGCAGCAGUAGGGAAUCUUCCGCAAUGGGCGAAAGCCUGACGGAGCAACGCCGCGUGAGUGAUGAAGGUCUUCGGAUCGUAAAACUCUGUUAUUAGGGAAGAACAUACGUGUAAGUAACUGUGCACGUCUUGACGGUACCUAAUCAGAAAGCCACGGCUAACUACGUGCCAGCAGCCGCGGUAAUACGUAGGUGGCAAGCGUUAUCCGGAAUUAUUGGGCGUAAAGCGCGCGUAGGCGGUUUUUCAAGUCUGAUGUGAAAGCCCACGGCUCAACCGUGGAGGGUCAUUGGAAACUGGAAAACUUGAGUGCAGAAGAGGAAAGUGGAAUUCCAUGUGUAGCGGUGAAAUGCGCAGAGAUAUGGAGGAACACCAGUGGCGAGGGCGACUUUCUGGUCUGUAACUGACGCUGAUGUGCGAAAGCGUGGGGAUCAAACAGGAUUAGAUACCCUGGUAGUCCACGCCGUAAACGAUGAGUGCUAAGUGUUAGGGGGUUUCCGCCCCUUAGUGCUGCAGCUAACGCAUUAAGCACUCCGCCUGGGGAGUACGACCGCAAGGUUGAAACUCAAAGGAAUUGACGGGGACCCGCACAAGCGGUGGAGCAUGUGGUUUAAUUCGAAGCAACGCGAAGAACCUUACCAAAUCUUGACAUCCUUUGACAACUCUAGAGAUAGAGCUUUCCCCUUCGGGGGACAAAGUGACAGGUGGUGCAUGGUUGUCGUCAGCUCGUGUCGUGAGAUGUUGGGUUAAGUCCCGCAACGAGCGCAACCCUUAAGCUUAGUUGCCAUCAUUAAGUUGGGCACUCUAAGUUGACUGCCGGUGACAAACCGGAGGAAGGUGGGGAUGACGUCAAAUCAUCAUGCCCCUUAUGAUUUGGGCUACACACGUGCUACAAUGGACAAUACAAAGGGCAGCGAAACCGCGAGGUCAAGCAAAUCCCAUAAAGUUGUUCUCAGUUCGGAUUGUAGUCUGCAACUCGACUACAUGAAGCUGGAAUCGCUAGUAAUCGUAGAUCAGCAUGCUACGGUGAAUACGCUCCCGGGUCU